CCUACGGGGCGCAGCAGUGAGGAAUAUUGGUCAAUGGGCGAGAGACUGAACCAGCCAAGCCGCGUGAGGGAAGACGGCCCUAUGGGUUGUAAACCUCUUUUGUCCGAGAACAAAAGCCGGGACGUGUACCGGUCUGAGGGUAUCCGAAGAAAAAGGAUCGGCUAACUCCGUGCCAGCAGCCGCGGUAAUACGGAGGAUGCGAGCGUUAUCCGGAUUUAUUGGGUUUAAAGGGUGCGUAGGCGGUCUGUUAAGUUAGCGGUAAAAUUGCGGGGCUCAACCCCGUCGAGCCGUUGAAACUGGCAGUCUUGAGUUGGCGAGAAGUAUGCGGAAUGCGCGGUGUAGCGGUGAAAUGCAUAGAGAU
rnacentral:rRNA from 1 species